AAGAUGAGCAGAGCCAGGGCUGGAAUUGGAAUGAUAUGGUAUAAUGCAAUGCUGACAGCAUGGACAUGUGAUGUGAUGACAUGACAUCAAGAUGUUACCAUAGUGUGGUGCAAGCUCUUUUCCUUCCUAGAGGAUUUCAGAAGCUAGCUAUCGUAAAUGGGGAAAGCAGCUGGAGUAUCUUUAUUACUGUGUCAAUCACCAGCAUCUGAUCCUAUGG